rnacentral:lncRNA from 1 species
ACUAGAGGGUACUUGCCAUAGCUCAUACCAUGCUAUCUCCAAAAAUUAGAUGCUGCUCAGAGAUGGCCAAUGUGUGGGGGAAAUGAUGGAAGGUUGGCUGAGCAAGAUUUCAGAGAUCAUAGUCAAAGUGUUUCUGAAAGCUUCUCAGCUGCCAUUCUCUGUUGCUCAGCCAGAAGUUGCUGAAGUUCCUCUGUAGACAAUUCCUCCAAGUGUUCCUUCACCAGUUCCUCAACAUCACCACUGUCUAUCUGCAAGCCUAUGGAUGCUACUAUAGUGAAAAUGUCAUCAACCACUGGAUCAAAUGAAGGCUCAGGCUCCUCUACACAGCCUUCAGUCACUCUCCUAUAUAGUUUUAGGCCACACUUUCUUCCAGGCAGAUCUAAGUGUCCUUAGAGGGACACUGGCCCAGGAUUUCUCAAUUCACCCCAAACAGGAUAUACCAGUAUUUCAGUUGUAACUCAGGACUUUGGUCAUAAAUUAAAACUAAAAUUCUGGUCAGAACCCAAGUUGUUUGGCUGGCUGUAACUUGAGGGUCCACUGUUAAGGGAUAGAAAGGGCUGUGGUUGGCCCUUGUGCCUUUGCUACUUUUUGCCUGCCAUUAACUGUUUCCCCUUUGUGAUACCACCCUGCCUUGGAGCCAGCUGAUUGUAGACUGAAACCUCUACAAACUGUGAGCUAAAUAAACCUUUCCUUCCUUAACUUUGGGUGUCAGGUAUUUUGUCUCAGCAAUGAGAGAAAAGUAACUAAGACAGGCAGUGACAUGAUUUGAUGCUGAUGAUAUGUGCUAUGCGUAGUGCUUUAUUUAGGAUUUAGCUUGAAGUUAAAGCCAACAGGACUGGCCGUGGGAGGCAGGAGGAAAGAAAGAAUUUAAGUGUAACAGUUUAGAUCUGAAAUGUGCCCCCAACGCCUCAUGUGUGCAGAGGUGUGGCUUUUGGAAGGUGAUGGAUUAUGGUGACCAUAUAGCUGACAUGUUACUAGGAG